UCAGAGGAAGAUUCAGCGCUCAGUAUCUGUCACUACGUUUAAAACCACAGCUCAUUUUAAAAGUUGUUCCUUCAUCUUGAGAAGUGGCCCCAACCUAGCCGUUCAGCCCUUCAGGUCAUCUUCUUCCCACUGUGGUCCACCUGGUGCCCACCGUUUCUUCUGCAGGGACUCUGGAGGGUGGCAGUAACUGCCCUCAACCCUCGAGGUUCCCAGUGACUCCAGGCCCUGA